AUCAGCAAUAGGGCUCCUCUCUCCUGGCAUGCAGACAGACAUUAUUUUGGUAGUUACCUACCAAAAGUUGGUAUUAACAACAUGCCAAGGGAGAGUUGCCCUGUGGCUGCU
rnacentral:pre_miRNA from 1 species